UGCAUAGUAAAAAGAACUUGAAACAAUAAAAUGAUUGUGAAUCAUGAAACGAUAAUUUUUUUUGGCGCUCUAGAGGACCUUGUACAUGUUAUCAACAUGAACAAAAAUGGAUCGUCGUUCUCUUUUUCUGUGUAAAUACGAGUUGACACGCUCUCACGAGUAUAAUAUUUAUCACACACAAGUACUGUCCAGUUCCGAAGUUUGACAAUAGGACAUUCACAAUAAUGAAGUGGAAAAAGAAAGUAAUGAAAAUCGCUCAUAUUCUCACACCGUGAACUUUUUCUCCAUUAAUAUUGAUUUCACGGACGUCCGUAUGCAUUUAAUAUUGUUUUUCCUUUCUUCGAUAUUGUUGAACAAUGACUUGAUCCUUUUUUUUUUUUUUUUU
rnacentral:lncRNA from 1 species